UGGCAGGUAUAAUGUCCUUAUCUGGCCUUGUCCUUUUUGAGGACAUGGUGACCACAAUCACCUCAUUGGUCAUCAUCCAAUUAAGAAAUGCCAUUCUUACAAGAAAAACACUAUAUAGCUAUCCCAUCAAUGCUGGGAUUAAAUCAGGGCUAAACAAGUAGCCAAUAAUAGGAUGGUGCUUAUAUUGGGAUCCCAUACCUCCCACACCAUUCAAAAGGGUGUAGCUUUCUAUGAUAAAUUGGCUCAUUGAUAAUAUCUUCAAUUAGU
rnacentral:lncRNA from 1 species